UGGGGAAUAUUGGACAAUGGGCGCAAGCCUGAUCCAGCAAUGCCGCGUGAGUGAUGAAGGCCUUAGGGUUGUAAAGCUCUUUCGCACGCGACGAUGAUGACGGUAGCGUGAGAAGAAGCCCCGGCUAACUUCGUGCCAGCAGCCGCGGUAAUACGAAGGGGGCUAGCGUUGUUCGGAAUUACUGGGCGUAAAGGGCGCGUAGGCGGCCUGUUUAGUCAGAAGUGAAAGCCCCGGGCUCAACCUGGGAAUAGCUUUUGAUACUGGCAGGCUUGAGUUCCGGAGAGGAUGGUGGAAUUCCCAGUGUAGAGGUGAAAUUCGUAGAUAUUGGGAAGAACACCGGUGGCGAAGGCGGCCAUCUGGACGGACACUGACGCUGAGGCGCGAAAGCGUGGGGAGCAAACAGAUUAGAUACCCUGGUAGUCCACGCCGUAAACGAUGAAUGCUAGACGUCGGGGUGCAUNCACUUCGGUGUCGCCGCUAACGCAUUAAGCAUUCCGCCUGGGGAGUACGGCCGCAAGGUUAAAACUUAAAGGAAUUGACGGGGUCAUAGCUGUUUCCU
rnacentral:rRNA from 1 species